UACGGAGGGGGCUAGCGUUAUUCGGAAUUACUGGGCGUAAAGAGCGUGUAGGCGGCUUUCCAAGUUGAGGGUGAAAUCCCGGGGCUCAACCCCGGAACUGCCUUCAAAACUAGAAGGCUUUGAGUAUGGGAGAGGUGAGUGGAAUUUCUAGUGUAGAGGUGGAAUUCGUAGAUAUUAGAAGGAACACCAGUGGCGAAGGCGGCUCACUGGCCCAUAACUGACGCUGAGGCGCGACAGCGUGGGGAUCAAACAGG
rnacentral:rRNA from 1 species